rnacentral:rRNA from 1 species
UGGCUGCAGUCGAGAAUAUUUCGCAAUGGGGGAAACCCUGACGAAGCGACGCCGCGUGAAGGAAGAAGGCCCUCGGGUUGUAAACUUCUUUUGUGGGGGAAGAACCCCGAUCGCAAGAUCGUGGGUGACGGUACCCCAAGAAUAAGGCGCUGCUAACUUCGUGCCAGCAGCAGCGGUAAUACGAAGGCGCCAAGCGUUAUCCGGAUUUAUUGGGCGUAAAGCGUUGGUAGGAGGUCAUGUUAGUUCGGCGUUAAAGCUUCCCGCUCAACGGGAAAAGUGCGCUGAAUACGGCUGACUAGAGGAAGCCAGAGGCAAAUGGAACGGCCGGUGUAGGGGUGAAAUCCGUUGAUAUCGGCCGGAACACCAAAGGCGAAGGCAUUUUGCUGGGACUUUUCUGACUCUGAUCAACUAAAGCGUGGGUCGCGAAUGGGAUUAGAUACCCGAGUANUC